rnacentral:rRNA from 1 species
GAGUGGCGAACUGGUGAGUAACACGUGGGAAACCUGCCCAGAAGCGGGGGAUAACACCUGGAAACAGAUGCUAAUACCGCAUAACAACUUGGACCGCAUGGUCCGAGCUUGAAAGAUGGCUUCGGCUAUCACUUUUGGAUGGUCCCGCGGCGUAUUAGCUAGAUGGUGGGGUAACGGCUCACCAUGGCAAUGAUACGUAGCCGACCUGAGAGGGUAAUCGGCCACAUUGGGACUGAGACACGGCCCAAACUCCUACGGGAGGCAGCAGUAGGGAAUCUUCCACAAUGGACGAAAGUCUGAUGGAGCAACGCCGCGUGAGUGAAGAAGGGUUUCGGCUCGUAAAACUCUGUUGUUAAAGAAGAACAUAUCUGAGAGUAACUGUUCAGGUAUUGACGGUAUUUAACCAGAAAGCCACGGCUAACUACGUGCCAGCAGCCGCGGUAAUACGUAGGUGGCAAGCGUUGUCCGGGAUUUAUUGGGCGUAAAGCGAGCGCAGGCGGUUUUUUAAGUCUGAUGUGAAAGCCUUUCGGCUCAACCGAAGAAGUGCAUCGGAAACUGGGAAACUUGAGUGCAGAAGAGGACAGUGGAACUCCAUGUGUAGCGGUGAAAUGCGUAGAUAUAUGGAAGAACACCAGUGGCGAAGGCGGCUGUCUGGUCUGUAACUGACGCUGAGGCUCGAAAGUAUGGGUAGCAAACAGGAUUAGAUACCCUGGUAGUCCAUACCGUAAACGAUGAAUGCUAAGUGUUGGAGGGUUUCCGCCCUUCAGUGCUGCAGCUAACGCAUUAAGCAUUCCGCCUGGGGAGUACGGCCGCAAGGCUGAAACUCAAAGGAAUUGACGGGGGCCCGCACAAGCGGUGGAGCAUGUGGUUUAAUUCGAAGCUACGCGAAGAACCUUACCAGGUCUUGACAUACUAUGCAAAUCUAAGAGAUUAGACGUUCCCUUCGGGGACAUGGAUACAGGUGGUGCAUGGUUGUCGUCAGCUCGUGUCGUGAGAUGUUGGGUUAAGUCCCGCAACGAGCGCAACCCUUAUUAUCAGUUGCCAGCAUUAAGUUGGGCACUCUGGUGAGACUGCCGGUGACAAACCGGAGGAAGGUGGGGAUGACGUCAAAUCAUCAUGCCCCUUAUGACCUGGGCUACACACGUGCUACAAUGGAUGGUACAACGAGUUGCGAACUCGCGAGAGUAAGCUAAUCUCUUAAAGCCAUUCUCAGUUCGGAUUGUAGGCUGCAACUCGCCUACAUGAAGUCGGAAUCGCUAGUAAUCGCGGAUCAGCAUGCCGCGGUGAAUACGUUCCCGGGCCUUGUACACACCGCCCGUCACACCAUGAGAGUUUGUAACACCCAAAGUCGGUGGGGUAA